CAGCAGCCGCGGUAAUACGGAGGGUGCAAGCGUUAAUCGGAAUUACUGGGCGUAAAGCGCACGCAGGCGGUUUGUUAAGUCAGAUGUGAAAUCCCCGAGCUUAACUUGGGAACUGCAUUUGAAACUGGCAAGCUAGAGUCUUGUAGAGGGGGGUAGAAUUCCAGGUGUAGCGGUGAAAUGCGUAGAGAUCUGGAGGAAUACCGGUGGCGAAGGCGGCCCCCUGGACAAAGACUGACGCUCAGGUGCGAAAGCGUGGGGAGCAAACAGGAUUAGAUACCCGGGUAGUCCCUGUCUCUUAUAC
rnacentral:rRNA from 1 species